AUACGGAGGGUGCAAGCGUUAUUCGGAAUCACUGGGCGUAAAGGGUCCGUAGGCGGGCAAUUAAGUCAGAGGUGAAAUCCCACAGCUCAACUGUGGAACUGCCUUUGAUACUGGUUGUCUUGAAUUAUAGUGAAGUAGAUAGAAUAUGUAGUGUAGCGGUGAAAUGCUUAGAUAUUACAUAGAAUACCGAUUGCGAAGGCAGUCUACUAACUGUAUAUUGACGCUGAUGGACGAAAGCGUGGGGAGCGAACAGGAUUAGAAACCCUAGUAGUCC
rnacentral:rRNA from 1 species